rnacentral:lncRNA from 1 species
ACAACAUCCACAGAUUGCACUAACCAUCUGAACUGCUGCAGAGGAAGAAGCAGGCUUUCUUACUGCACUGUCCUCUCCAAAGGCAUAAAUUUAUAGGAAAAAAAGCUGAAUGUGAGUAGCUGCAGGAAGAGGAGAACCCGUUUCCUCCCCCAGGCAGUGGAAAAGUGAAUUUACUCCAUAUUCUGCAGAAUGCCAUGGAAGAUCAGGCUCCACAUCACCAUACGACUACCCACCACCAGUGUCAUCAGCAUCAGACCAGGGAGUUAUUUACACAGUUUGCAUGUCUUUCUGGAAAUGAAAGAAUUGAUUUUUGCCUUGCCACGCAGACUCCAUGUCAGUGUAAAUCCACUGAAGAAUAAGAAGAACCUGUCGAAUAAAUCCUUUUCUGUAUUUGUGGAUGGGUGAGAUCAAGCUCGGUCUUAGAAUCAGGCAUCUUUCUUAAGAAGAAAGGGAUGUGACACGGACUUUUAAGUUUGACGCAGGUGACAGCAAGUCUUUCAACGCAUGAAGCCCAUUCAUUUUUGUCUUGAAAACAGCUUUGUAAAUGUCAGAGUUUAAACCUCAUUUGACUCAUCUUUGCUUUUUCUUUUAGCAGCAUUUAUCUCACCCCAAGUUUGAAGGGAUAUCUGUCCAUUUCUGUCAGAAAAACAACUCAAUCUACAGACAGGGGCUUCUGUUUUACCAGGCCUGCUGUGGCUUCUUCUGGCCAUGUUGUGUUACAGGAGCUCAGGCGCUGGUGUUCAAAAACCUCUACAUGGCAAGCGGAGAGAAUGAGGCCUUAAAAUUUUCUGUUUUCUUUGGCUUUUGGGCAACUGGUUGCAUUCUGUCUAAGGGGAAAAAUACUGCAUGCUACAAAACUAUGUCCCUCUCCUGUGGCAUGUCGUAAAAUGUCUUACAUAUUUUAACUCAAAUAUGAAAUGGCAAUACAAAUCUAUACGUGGAUGCAGCAUUUUGCUGCCUAUUACUUUAAGUGUUGACAUUCUAUUGAAAGCACAGCUGCACCGUAGAAAAAGCAUUUCUUAUAUUGACCUGACAGAAUUCAAUCUUUAGAUAUCUCAGAGAAACCAGCAUGGGGUUAUUCAGUAUUUGCACAAACCAUAUUCUAAUAGUUUUCACCAGG